GCAGCCAUCUUUGAUUUUCAUAGUCUUCACCAGGAAGAACUUCCUGCAAUGCUGUAUGUUUUCCUUCUCGGCACAUAAUAUCGGUUUUAUUGUUAUGUAAAACCGUAAUAUUGAUGUGCCUUUGGAAAACAUACAGCAUUGUAUUAUGAAGACGUGUUUGUUAUCUGCUGGUGAAAUUAUUAAGCACAACGCUAUGAUGAAAUAGAAAGUCGACAGCGCUGCUUUAUGCAGAAGGAUUGUUUUACAGGCAAAAUUUUCUUUUUGGAAAAGAAAACAGAAUUUGGCAACAUCUGCAGACUUAGGAUCAAUUUUAAAACUGUAGCACCAUAUGCACCAUCUUCUAGUUGCUGGUAAGUAUGCUGGCAAAGUGGAUUGACACCAGCUAAUUUUCAAUAAAUCUUCUCCUGUGUA